AAAACUGCACCACCUGACAGCCCACCUACAAAACGCCCUCUCUUAGAGUUUCCGGUACAACAGUUCCAUCUUUGCAGAUCCUGAUGACACCACCUACCUCCCCAGUAUUUCUGAACUUGUUGACACCAUCACUGAACAAGCACCAGCCAAGGCAGUGCAGGACAUGCUGAAGUACUUAGUGUAGGAGGACUGCCUCCUGGAGCUUUUUAAAAUCUGCCCCACCUGCUCCAGACUCUGUGAAGUUGACACGUUUGUUAAAGGAACAUUCCUCUCUGUAACCCAGAAGUGCCUCUACACGAGUGUCUCUUACUCAAGACUCCACAGCCCUGAUAACACCUGCUGAGAGUGAGAGGAGGGGAGAGGACACCAACUAGAGAACCCAGAACUAUGAGGACGGGAGGAAGCCAAGGUACUCCUGGUGGAUACGGACAACAACGCAGGAAGGUAUCACUACCCGGUUGUGCUUUCCCAGGUAUCCCCAGCACCAGGAAACGAAGGAUGCCAGCACAUCAUGAUCCCUAGAAGAUGAAAGAUAGAUCAACCUGCAACGUGCCUGAAAUCUAUUUGGCUGUAUGGAUUGGCCUGGACAUCUG